UGCGGUGAUUUCAUUGGCAUGGGCGAAGUUUGUCUCCGGGUCGUGACAGGCAAAUUCUUCAACUUCUUUAGUCAAGUGAUGAUCAAGAUUGACAAUUCUUUGGAUUAACCUGUUUUAUUGGCAAAAACAUCGACUUCAGCAUUAUAUAUGGAUACUCUAUGCCACUCAGGUGGAGGGUCUCGACGGGCCAGUGGAGGAGCGUCUGCGCCGGCGACGGGAGGGGCGUUGUUUUUACUGUGGGCGUUUGGGACACUUGAUCGCCCGCUGCCCGACUCGACCAGAGCACUCUGACAUCAGGAUCUCUACUCCGAUUCUGGGUCGGAAGCAAACCUGAUAAAUCCCCGCGUGGUCGAAGAGCUGGGGGCAGCAACCAUCCCCACGCAACGGUUUCGUCACGCCUAUGCCGCCAACGGCAAGUUCCUUUGUCGGGUUACACAUCGCACUCAGACGCUACGUAUGAGCUUUCCGGACGCUCACUCGGAGCGUAUUAGCUUCCAUGUCUUCAACGCACGUAGUAGCGACAUCAUCUUGGGCAGCCCGUGGCUCAAAGAACAUAACCCGCACAUAGAUUGGACCACGGGUCAGAUCAAGACUUGGGGAGAGGACUGUCUCAGUCGCUGUUUCGCUGUCCAGGAAGACAGGGGUAUUAAGGUCGCGCCGGUUCGGCAAACAGAACCUAGUACCGCCCCGGACCUGACCGCGGUGCCCUCCUGCUACCAUGAUCUACGGGAGGUCUUCUCUGAAUCUAAGGCAAAGUCUCUGCCGCCACAUCGGUCACACGACUGCCGGAUUGAACUCCUGCCAGGCACCUCUCAGAGAGAAACUGUUCUCGUUAACAGGACCAGAGCAUCAAGCCAUGAGGGACUACAUCGAGGACUCGCUGGCAGCCGGACUCAUUCGCCCCUCAUCCUCACCAGCCGGUGCGGGGUUUUUUUUUGUCAAGAAGAAGGACUCCACGCUGCGACCCUGCGUCGACUACCGAGGACUGAACGACAUCACAGUCAAGAACAGCGCUUACCACUUGGUGCGGAUUCGGGAAGGAGAUGAGUGGAAGACGGCGUUCAACACCCCCACAGGGACUAUGAGUAUCUUGUGAUGCCUUUUGGACUGACAAACGCCCCGGCCGUCUUUCAAAACUUCAUUAACGACGUGCUUCGGGAGUUCCUGAAUAGAUCUGUCUUUGUAUACCUGGAUGACAUUCUCAUCUUUUCAGCAGACCUAACCUCUCACAUUCAACAAGUCAGAGAGGUGCUCCGGCGUCUGCAGCAGCGCCAAUUGUAGGUGAAUAUGGAUAAGUGUGAGUUCCAUCGGGCAUCCGUGUCCUUCCUGGGCUUCGUCCUGGCUGAGGGAGAGAUACGGAUGGACCCCGGGAAGGUCGACGCGGUGCUGCGGUGGCCUACCCCCACCAACAGGAGGGACGUACAGAGGUUUCUGGGAUUUGCCAAUUUCUAUAGGAAAUUCAUAAGGAACUUCAGUUCCGUGGCCGCUCCUCUGCAUUCGCUCACCUCGCCACAUACCACCUUCGACUGGUCCGGGACCUGCCAGGAGGCCUUCAGCAGGCUCAAGGCAAGUUUCACUACUGCGCCCGUUCUCAUUGUUCCGGACCCAGAUAACCAGGCCUGAGAGGAUGUGGCACUCGCCCGCCGUGUUUUUGUGAUUUUAAUGAUGACACCCAAAUUAAUAGAUUUUUCCACAUACUAAAUAAGUGAUUGACAUGUUUUUUGGGUACAAGGUGUUGUUCAGGUGGUGCAAUGACAGAUGACAGCCAUGUAUGACAUACUCUCAUGCCAAUUUGAACAAUGCCGAGUUUGGAAACUCAACAUAAGUUGUUUUCUUUUUAAAUGUCCAGAUAAGUUCUUGAGCCAAAACACAAAACAACAAAAAAAUAAAGUACAAAGCAUGAAGACCCAUACUUUCAACACUGUAUGCAUUUUGUUCAAUGUUUUAGUGAUGUCAAUAACAAAUAAGCAAAUGAUUGAUGGGAAUAUGGGGUUGUAUUUGUGAUCUUUCAUAAAUGACUCUUGUAAAAGCAGUGACUAUGACUCUAUUUGCGUGUCCAGUAUAUUAAAGGCAUUUUCCCCAUUAAAAAGAAAUUAAUGUCUUUCAACCAGUGGGAAGCUUCCACGAACAAAAUGCUCUCAACUUCACGCAAAUGUGGACCAAGAAAUAUGUGAAAAAAAUCUGCAAAUCUGGGGCACUGUGGAGGAUCACCAGCAGGCGGCCUCUGAACUCCACAAUGAGUGAUGACAUGAUGUCACACUCUCCCCACCGAUGAAGAGAUGAUAAAACGUCUGAAGCGGAUUUGACAUGUCACACUGACAAACAAUGGAAAAUUUCUGUGUGGGAAAGCUUUUAGUCCUUCCAUCCAUCCAUUUAUUUAGCCACUUAACCUCACAAGCGUCAUGGCAAGUGCUGGAGCAUAUCCCAGCUGUCACUGGCCAGGAGGCUGAACUGGUUGCCAGCCAAUCGCAAGGGACACCGAGACAAACAGCCACACUCACAAUGACACCAAGGGGCAAUUUAGAGUGUCCAAUUAAUGUUGCAUGUUUUUGGAAUGUGGGAGGAAACCAGAGUGCCCGGAAAAAACCCACGCAGUCACGAGGAGAACAAGCAAACUCCAGACAGGCGGGUCCAGGGUUGAACACGGGACCUCAGAACUGUGAGGCCAACACUUUUCCAGCUGAUCCACCAUGCUGCCCCAGAUUUAUACAUCUUUGUCUGAAUUUCCAUAUUUUUUAUAUUUUGUCACAAACAUUAUUGCAGUUACAGGACAGAUAUUGCAGUGUUAAUAUUUAAUUGAAGAAUAUACUCAUGACUCGAAUUGUUGAUAAAUUAGAGUUUCAGUGUUUAUUGAUUAAAUAAAACAAUAUGAUAAUGUUGGGAGUGACAUGAAUGUUGCUUUUCAUCACUAUCCAAGAUUCGAGCAUAGAAUUGGUUGGACUUGUAUCCUGGAUCAAAUAUAUCUGAAGAUUUUUAUGAAUGCAAUAAAAUGUUGAGAUGAUUCACUUGAUUGACACAAAAAUGCAGAUAAAACCUUUCAGUUUCACUGGUGCUGGCUCAGCAUCCUGUAGGGUUUUAGCCUUGUUGCCAUGGUGACAGAUUUAGAAAAACAACCUUGCCACCUUUCAACAGCUGUGAUCGUAUAGUGGUUAGUACUCUGCGUUGUGGCCGCAGCAUCCCCGGUUUGAAUCCGGGUCAUGGCAGUUCUGUUGAGUUAUUUUUUUUAGUCCUUAUGGUUGAUAUUUGUAUGAAUCUCUUUAGAAUUACAAAAAUGAACGGACCAAACACAAUGAUGGAAGUAAUUAAUUAAUCCAUCAGAAUGCCAAAGAAAGGACCCUACAAAUAGUAACACAAGCACAUUCAAACCAUUUUCUUGAACAAAUAGCCAUAGAAUUUUCAACACUGUUGACCAAAUGGGAUUCCCGACCACUUGCUGAGGCCGUAGCACAAAUAAAGCACCAUGAAGAUUUGGACCGUGUGGAAAUUAACUGGCUGCAAGGACUCAUUUGGGCAGACAUGUUUUCCAUUGCACCAUUUGCCUCACGGUGGCUUAAAGCCCUACCCAAGCCCAUCUCAAGGACUAUCACUGUCCCACGCAAAUUUCAAACCUCAGGACUAAAGAAAUUAACUCCUGGAAUUUGGUCCUGCUGUGACUCGAAUUUGAACCAGGGUUGCUGCAGCCACAACACAGUGUACUAAGCACUAUAUCAUCAUGUAGGUGCGGGACGAACAUGCAAACUCCACACAGAUGGGGAUGGGAUUGAACCCAUGUUCUCAGAACUGCGAGUCCAACGCUCUACAGCCACACCACCGGAAGGUCCUUGCUCGCACCCAGUUUUGAAACAAGUACCAGACACACAUCAGCAGUAUUAAUCAAUAGAAAUGUCCACUCUCCUUAAGAUUUACAACAUGAGCAAAAAAAACAAAUAAAAUAAAUAAUACAGCUCCUUGACAAGCAAGCAAGAAAAAAAUGAUUGUUUCCACCCGGUCUCGAACCGGGGACCUUUCGCGUGUGAGGCAAAUGUGAUAACCACUACACUAUGGAAACUGCCAGGCUGUGCUUUUGAGAGAUGAAAGAUGAAACUCUACUCUCUUCAGAGUAACGCUUCUCAGCUAUUUUCAGCAGUUGCUCCAAUACAAACAUCAACAAUGAAAUUUUGAAUGACGACAAAGUUGGAAGAAGUGGACAUUUGGACUUUCACCCUAUAACUUCAAAUUUACACCUCAGUGACAAAUUAAACAUUCCUGACAAAAGCAGAAUUCAGUCAGUUGCACGAGCGGUCAUCUACAACCCCAUGAUAUGUCCUUCUCAGUGGAAAAGUUUGUGAAUUCAAAGUAGAAACCUUGAUAUCCAUCAGAAUGCCCAAGAAAUGACCCUAAUGUGAUUCAAACACAUAACCUUCCGAUCUGGAGUCAGCCACGAUACCGUUGCGCCACAGAGCAGGUAAUGAAGGGCUUUUGUGGAGGUGUAAGCUCAACAGGAGGCAGGUAUAAUUGCCAAUACAAGCGACUGACAUGCCCGACUGGUGAAUCCGUGUAAAAAAAAAAGCUUGCUCUGUAGUUGUCAUUGAAGUCAGGACUGGGCAAUUUUCUCCCAUCUUUGAGGGGACAUUUUUUUUGCCCAUGAGAUGAUCAAACACUGAAUUCAUGCAGUCUCUGAACAAAACAAGUGGAAGGGGGCAUCCAGAGUUGAACUGGAGACCUCUUGAUCUGCAGUCAAAUGCUCUACCACUGAGCCACAAACCCUUGCUGUCACAGUGCCUCUUAGUGGUGUAGACAAUUCAAUAUUCAUCAUUUGUACCAUUGGUUUCAGUUGUGAAAUGUGUAUGAUUGAGAACUGUUCGCAUCAAACGACCUUUCCACUGUUCUUGGUCCCUGGAAAAAGCUAUAUGUGACUUGCAGGUGACGUCACAUCCGUUUUGAAUUUUUUCUGGCCGCCAUAUUGGGAGGUCUCAUUUCACAGGUUACAUUCGAUUACAUAAGACGCUUUUUGACUUCUGAGACGAUGGUGCACACGUGUUGUGUUAUUGGCUGCUAUAACAAGUUCAGCAAAGAAGGGAACAGACGGUUUUUCCGAUUUCCGAAAAUAAUUACGCACCAAGGACCCCAAACAGAAGAAAUGUCGAGCAAACGGCAAGCGAAGUGUCUCAGUAAUAUCUCGCGUGCAGAUCUCACUCGUCCCACAGUUUCAAGUCGUGUGUGCAGCGAUCACUUCAUAAGUGGUAAGUUUAAGCCUAGUAUUGCACUUUGACCAUAUCCUCCGACUGCUAUUUUUACAUGUAUGUGUUGUUUGCUGUGUUUUAUAUGACAAGACUAACGGUGUUUGAUAGGUCUACAUGUACAUGUACAUCCAACUCGGCCGCCGAUCGAAAUCGGCCGCCAGUGACAAGCUUUUCAUCUCCAGUUUAGGAUACAAACGUAAGGAUGUGUGUUGUGCGUUUGCUGUCUGUUUACUCUCUGUGAACAUCAAAAUAUUUUUAAGAAGGAAAUAUACCGUAUAUAUAUUAAAAACAACACGAGUAUGCAUGUAUCACCUACCACCUACCAGGGCAUCAUUCACGCUAGCCCUAAUACAACAGUUGCGGCUUUCUAUAUGCUGACAUUUGAGUCAGGCAAAUGUGAACAAAUAGAAAGCCGCGACUGUUGUAUUAGGGCUAGUAUUACUAUUAGGGCUACAUUCAGACAUUCACGCUAUAAUUUGUUAGUACUUAGUCAUUUACACCUUGUACAUUUUAAUUAUUGUCACAUUACUUAAUGCUCCUUCAAAUAAAUUUAAAAGAUGGUGUAAUAUUUAUUUGUCAGAUCUUUUUCCCUAAUCGGUCCGAUAUGUCGGACCUGAAAAAGCCAUAAUGGCUAAGCAGAAACAACAACAACAACAGUGAGUUACGCACUCUGUCCCGGGUGAUUACAAGUUACUUACUCGGGCAACGAUUAAAACCUUUUCUUCAGACAACGUUUUGCAGAGGACACUCUGAAUCCACCCGCUUACAAAGUAAUUGUAAGCCUCCAAGGACUUGCAGGCCUUCAAUCUGUGGGUGACUCAGGCUGUUGGUUGUAAGCACCAAGUAGUUCACAAUGUCGGGGUUUUCCACUCUCGGCCAACAUUUUUCAGUCGCAAAGUCAGCCUUCGAUAGACUAUACGGGUCCAGAUCCACACAUAAAUUGAUUUUCUGCCUGUAGUAGGGUUUCAGAUCAGCCGACAGAUCCUCGAAAUACUUGGAAAACGCUAUAGAAAGUGCAGAUACAAUGAACGCGAUGCUGGUAUGUCGACAAACUUUAAGAACUGUUUACAACCUCCGAAAAUGGCCGACACAUGAAAAAUUCUUACCCACAAUGCACUUGCUCUGAAGUUGUGCAAGUGACCUAUUGUCUAAUUCAAGGUCAAGAUGUUCAAGCUUGGUGGGACUCUGGCUCGCAAGUGACAAUUAUUGAUGAGGAAUGGAAAGAAAUGUGUUCUGCCAGACACAAAACUCAGAGACAUUUCAGAAAUUUUGGACAGAGUGGGCCCUUUAGACACAGUAAUAGCCAAUGGAGAGAACAUGUCGUGUGUGGGCUGGGGAGAGGUAACCUUUAGUUUAGCUUCAAGGGACGCUCCCACCACUUCAGUGAACGUCCGUAGUCUCGUAAUGAAAGGUGACAAGCUUGGCCAACCAAUCAUUGGAUCAAAUGUUAUUGAGCUGAUCAUAGUCAAUGAACUAAAACAAUCUAAUGCCACUGACAGAAAAUGCCCAAGACAAAUGGUGACAACAGCAUUUCCCAAUCUUGAACUCGAACAAGCACAGUUGGCUGGAAGAACUGUCAUUGUCCAACACAUUCAAGCUUUAUAUCCUGCCUCCAUAUUAGAGGGUGCUCGACCUCCACCUCCUGUUUGCUUGAGCCACGUCCGACUCGAAGAAAACAAAACAACGGACCAAUGGGACCCACCAGUCAAUUUGAGUCACCUCAGUAACCACAGUGGCCGGAGAAAACCCACGCAGGCACAGGGAGAACAUGCAAACUCUACACAGAUGUGGGCAGGAUCGAACCCGUGUCCUCAGAACUGUGAGCCCAUCGCUUUACCAGCUGAUCCACCAUCCCACCUACACACCAUCCGAUAACAGAAAUCUAUAUUUUUCAAUUUCAUGUCAUCAUAUUUUAUAUUCAUUGUUUUCAAUACCGAGGUCUUUGAACCUGGGACCUCUCGCACCAUCAGCAAGAAUCAUGCCCCCCGACCAAUGGACCACAAGAUGACACCUUUGCUUUCAUGUCGCACCUUCCAAGUGAAAAUGAUGACCACAAGUAAAUGUUAUCUUUAUUGAACAUGGAUCAAUAUCUUUCUUUUGUACUUUCUUCAACGAUUAUAAGGAUUAUAUUGAAGUAUCCCUUAUGUAAAGUGCAACGCACUGUGGGAAAGGGGUUUUGCAAUUUAUUUUCAUUUUUCCUGUGAGGGAUUGUAACAGAAAUCAAAUGAGUGUCAGUGCACAA